rnacentral:rRNA from 1 species
UACGUAGGGGGCAAGCGUUAUCCGGAUUUACUGGGUGUAAAGGGAGCGUAGACGGCGAUGCAAGCCAGAUGUGAAAGCCCGCGGCUCAACUGCGGUAGUGCAUUUGGAACUGUAUGGCUGGAGUGCAGGAGAGGCAGGCGGAAUUCCUAGUGUAGCGGUGAAAUGCGUAGAUAUUAGGAGGAACACCAGUGGCGAAGGCGAUUUGCUGGGCCAUUACUGACGCUCAUGCACGAAAGCGUGGGGAGCAAAAAGG